GAUGAAGAACGCAGCGAAAUGCGAUAAGUAAUGUGAAUUGCAGAAUUCAGUGAAUCAUCGAAUCUUUGAACGCACCUUGCACCCUUUGGCAUUCCGAAGGGUAUGCUCGUUUGAGUGUCAUUGUACUCUCACUCUCCCGAUGCUUUUGGAUCGGGAGUGGUGGACUUGGGUGUUGCUGCUUUGCUGUGGCUCGCCUCAAAUGGAGUAGUGCAACUCUUGGUUGGACAUAGUACGGCGUGAUAAGUGUCUUCGCCGGCGCCUCAUUAUAGAGGGUGGCCGAUCGGGAGCUCUGUGCUUCAAACCGUCUUCGGACAACAUCUGACAACUUGACCUCAAAUCGAGUAGGACUACCCGCUGAACUUAAGCAUAUCAAUAAGCGGAGA
rnacentral:misc_RNA from 1 species